UUGAUCACUCUCACGUGUCCUUAGUCACACAUUCUGGUGGCAUUUCUAGACAUGAAUAAUAGUUUGGUUUGUUAUUUUUCUAAUAGGUAUCAGUGGUUAGAAUGGAAGCUAAAUUCACAUGUGCUAUGUUGCUCUCCAUUUCUGCAUGCUGUCCUAGCACAAGAAGCUUGCUCAAAAGCAAGAAGCCGUCACUCCUCCCCUUAUGUUCAGUACAGAAUAAAACAAACUUUCCAGCGAUAGUUGUGACUGAUAGCUAUAAGGAAUGUGUUUCCCUGUAGAUAUUGUUUACAGACUGCUUAAUAGAAAACAUGAAGUUUUUGGCAUGGUGCAUCAAGGACUUGCUUUGUCCUAUGCUAUCAAGUGAAAUCCAGAACAUGAAUUCAAACUGAAGUGGAAACAUUAUGGAAUCAUUAGUUAUUGUUGAAGGAUCUGUUUUUGUUUGCUUUCUUGCUUGUUUAUUCUUUUGUUUUGUUUUGUUUGGUCUUUACUUUAGUUUCUUUAUUUGAAUGCAGAAGCUGUCACCUCUCCUUACUGGUAAAUCCUAAAACCUAAUGCUAUUUAAAGCGUCCCAGUGUGAAGAAGUUUAAAUUCUGUAACAAACUAGUAAGGUAAGAAAGCAUAUAUACCUCCAUAUAUACCUCCUGAUAUGCUGGUGGGAGAGUGGUGUUCUUGCUACCAAAAUACCCAGAGCUGCUGAGACAAGUUUUCCAGAGCUGGCCAGAUCUGAGAAGGCUGGUAAGACUUUCAAACAGACAUAAAGAAGGUUGACUUCCUGAAAAACAGGACAAUUUCACUAAAAAUAAACAAUAGAGAUCAUUUUAGUGCAAGGUAAAUUAAGUAGCUGGAUGAACAGAAAGAGCACAGAAAGCUUUUCUUGUGUACAGAAAGGCCUGACUCUUCCAGUGCUGCCUGCCUACAUUUUAAUUUUUAUUUUUCUGAAAAGGUAAUAAAUAGGAAUCUCGAUUAAAAAAAAAAAAAAAAAAAAAAAAAAAAAAGGCAGUGGGGAGAUCCUUUCUGCUAUGUUUUACCUUAUAAAUCCAUUCAUAUGUACAGGAGCAGUAUCAUACAAUCAAGAGGCAUAAACAGAUGAAUUAACCUUAAUGAGGUAUUUGGUAAUUUCAUUUCUGGAUGUCUAAAGUUUAUUAAACUUUAUUGCAUGACAGCAGGAAAGAAAUUAUACGAACUGCUGCUUACAAAGCCUUCACUCCAGAAUUUUACCUUGUUACAUGAGGAAACAGAAGUAGUCUUUUCUGUCAGGGAUGUUCAUAACACAAUGUGGGUUUCCCAUUCAUUGUAGCAGCUGCUGUACUGAGCAGCAAUGUUUGCUGUCCAUAGCUGUUUGAUGUACAGCAUUAUGUUUUAUAUUUCAUCUACUAAUUUUCUAUAUCUUCAGACUUCUUUUGGUCUAAGCAGACUAAGAGCUUUGUAGAGAGCUUUCUGGUCUCUUUGACCAGAAAGCGAUUCUUCCAUCUCAAUUUGCUAAAGCCUCACGUGUUUCUUUACCAUCUUCUGAAUACAAGGUAUUUCCUUUUACAUUGUGUGCUGUAAAGUAUUCGUAACUUCUGAUCAGUUCACUAGCCUGCAUUUCUGUUGACAGAUGCUUGUUUGACCCUGUGGUCCAGAUAAAGAAGUCAUCUCUCCUGUAAUCAGACUUCAUCUGGAGCAAGUGGGUCAGGAGUUGAAAGCUGAAUAAAAUAUUUCAUUUUCACUUGGACAGGCAAAUUGUUUGGACUGAAAUUUUUAUAACUGCAUCUGAUUCCAAAAGCAGACCUUACAACUGAGAUUGUCAUGUUUAGGAUGGGACUCAGUCAAACGAGGACACCAAAGGCAAGUCAGCAGCCCAGUGGUGACAUGUACCUAUGAACACCUGAUGACUGAGUAUCUGGCCACCAAACACCUAAAUCUCCUAAAGUUUUUGUUUUCACAUUGCAUUUUUUUGGAGCAAAAAUUCAAAGAUAACCUUUCGGUUUUCCAAACUUAAUGAUUGUUGAGAAUAAGUUCCUCUUUUCUUGACAUUCGUAAUUUAAAAUCCCCUCAUUGACCUGUCUCUCUUCCUACAUUUUCUCCAACAGCCUCUCUGCAGCCAGGAUGGAGACUUGGGCUUAAAAACUAUUAUACCUUUGCUGACUCAGUAUAUCAGAAAAGACCUAGGCAACAUCUGCUUGUGAUCCUGUAACCAGAUCAACAGACUUUGAGCCAGCACUGGGACAUGAAAUUAAGAGAAAAUGCAAUUGUAAAUGCCCAGCACCUUGUCUCCUUCUUCUCUAUCAACACAUCUGCUAUAGCUUGGACAAUGCCAUUCAGAAUUUAUGCUUGCCUUUUCCGUGAUGGACUCAUGACUACUGCAUCAGCCAAGAGGAUUUUAAAGGAGAAGAAAACAAAGAAACUUUCCUACUGCAGCAUAUGAUGCAGAAAAAUACACUGAAGAGUAAGCUCUGCUGCAGUUUCAGGGUAAUGGUUGUCAGGUGAAUUUGACCAGAGGAGCCAUUUUUUCACCUCCAAACAUCACUGAAGCUGAGUUUACAGUCCAGUAGAGAAGAUGUGGG